UGUUUUAGUAGGCCCUACCAAUGAGAAUUAUACGUUGAUUUUUGAUCCUGUCAAUGGGGAUUAUACAUUGAUUUUUGAUCCUACCAAUGGGGGUCAUGCAUUGAUUUUUGGCUCUACCAAUGGGGAUGGUGCAUUGGUUUUCGACCCUGCCAAUAGGGAUUAAACGUUGGCCAUAGUCAAGACUGUUGAGCAAUGUGUGUUU
rnacentral:lncRNA from 1 species